GAUCCUGGCUCAGGAUGAACGCUAGCUACAGGCUUAACACAUGCAAGUCGAGGGGAAACGAUAUUGGAAGCUUGCUUCCGAUAGGCGUCGACCGGCGCACGGGUGAGUAACGCGUAUCCAACCUGCCCACACUUGGGGAUAACCUUGCGAAAGUAAGACUAAUACCCAAUGACGUCUCUAGAAGACAUCUGAAAGAGAUUAAAGAUUUAUCGGUGAAGGAUGGGGAUGCGUCUGAUUAGCUUGUUGGUGAGGUAACGGCUCACCAAGGCGACGAUCAGUAGGGGUUCUGAGAGGAAGGUCCCCCACAUUGGAACUGAGACACGGUCCAAACUCCUACGGGAGGCAGCAGUGAGGAAUAUUGGUCAAUGGGCGAGAGCCUGAACCAGCCAAGUAGCGUGCAGGAUGACGGCCCUAUGGGUUGUAAACUGCUUUUAUAAGGGAAUAAAGUGGGUCACGUGUGACUUUUUGCAUGUACCUUAUGAAUAAGGACCGGCUAAUUCCGUG
rnacentral:rRNA from 1 species